rnacentral:rRNA from 1 species
GAUGAACGCUGGCGGUAUGCUUAACACAUGCCAGUCGAACGGUCACUUCGGUGAUAGUGGCGGACGGGUGAGUAACGCGUGAGAAUCUGUCUUCAGGUCGGGGACAACAGUUAGAAAUGACUGCUAAUACCGGAUGUGCCUUUGGGUGAAGAUUUAUUGCCUGAAAAAGAGCUCGCGUCAGAUUAGCUAGUAGGUGGUGUAAGAGACUACCUAGGCUCCGAUCUGUAGCUGGUCUGAGAGGACGAUCAGCCACACUGGAACUGAGACACGGUCCAGACUCCUACGGGAGGCAGCAGUGGGGAAUUUUCCGCAAUGGGCGAAAGCCUGACGGGGCAAUACCGCGUGAGGGACGAAGGCUUUUGGGUCGUAAACCUCUUUUCUCAAGGAAGAUGAUGACGGUACUUGAGGAAUAAGCAUCGGCUAACUCUGUG